UUUUCUACCCAUCUUCAACAUCUGUCCCACUCGCAUUCUCACUUUACUGAGUUUUUUCUCUGAAACCAAACAAAAAAAAAAACCUGUUACUUUAAUCUUUUCUGUUGCAGUAGUUGAGUUCUUGCUUGUCUAAAGCUUUGAGGGCGUUCUUUUUCCAUUUUUCUGAAGUGGGUCUCUUGGGAUCGCUGUCAAUGCCCUUUGUUGAAUUUCAGAGUUUGGAGACCUAGGGUUGCGUUUGGUUGUGACGAUUAAAGCUUAAAGGAUGAGGAGGAGUAAGAUAAAGAAAGAAGAGAUUGCAGAAGACUACUGCUUUGUCUGCAAAGAUGGAGGUCUGCUUAUGGUCUGCGACUACAAGAUUUGGAGAUGGAGAUGUUCUUUCAGGUUGGAGAACAGUAGGCUUCGAGUGCAUACAGUGCAUGAGUUUGGAGG